rnacentral:lncRNA from 1 species
UGACUGUAUAUCUCAUAAAAGUUAUGUUAUUAGUUGAAAAAUAUGAUCUUUAGAUGGAUUGAUAGAAUGCAAGUAUGAAGUCCACCUAUGCCUUAAAAAAUGCAUGCAAGGUGUUCGAUAAAAUGCCUAGUAUGUUAGAACUUCAUAUUUACAUGAUUUCAUGAUAUCUAAAUAACAAGUUAAUGUUAGUCAUACACUCUAAUAUGAAUUUCCAUGCAAAUUAUGUGUUCUUAUUGUUGUGGUAUAAAGC